CAACUAAAAGCCAGUGCAAUAGACAUGCAGGUGGCCUGGAUCCGGUGGUAGAAAGGAGGUGGCAAGAAGAGGCUGGAUUCAGGAUAUGGUUUUUUAGGAGGAGCUGACAGAAUUUGAUGAUGGAGUCCAUGAGAACUGUGAAAACAAGAGAGGAGUUGUAGAAUUGGCCUGAGCCAAAGGAUAAAGUCGCCAUUUAUGCUCCCUGGUGUUGGAUCUGAGUACAGAACCUGGGCCUGAGCAGCCGCACUGUGACCAGUUCAGGGGUGGCUCCCAUGCCGAAGAAGGGAGGUCUUUAAUGAUGUCACUGAGCCACUGAACUCAACCCAGGAGCCUCCCUACCUCCUGACAUCUUAGAAGAUUCAUAAAAAUGUGAGUCCUAGAGCUGCGGUGGUGGGCAAAGCUGGGGAAGGAGCCGCAGGAGAGAAAAGAAACGUCGCCAGAGGUGCCAAGGCGUCUGGGGCUUCGUCUUUCUGGGCACCCUGUGUUUGGGGGAGGUUGGGGUGCAGAGCCAACUAGUCCCAAAGGGCUGCAUCAUGACCUUCUAGGGUCCUGGGCACACUCUCCUUAGGGGAGGA